GACGAGCCGUGCGAACGUUGUUCGGAAUCACUGGGCUUAAAGGGCGCGUAGGCGGCUUCGCAAGUCCGGGGUGAAAGCCCCCAGCUCAACUGGGGAAUGCCUUGGAUACUGCGGAGCUCGAGCGAGGUAGGGGGUCGUGGGAACUUCCGGUGGAGCGGUGAAAAUGCGUUGAUAUCGGAAGGAACGCCGGUGGCGAAAGCGGCUUCCUGGUCCAGCACC
rnacentral:rRNA from 1 species